rnacentral:rRNA from 1 species
UUUUGCUAUUUUUUAGUAUUGGAGAUCUUGUUACUUUGAGUAAAUUAGAGUGUUCAAAGCAAACAGUUAAAGCAUUUUACUGCGUUUGAAUACUACAGCAUGGAAUAACAAAAUUGAACAAGUCAGAAUUCUGUUCUUUUUUCUUAUUUUGGCUUAGUUACGAUUAAUAGGAGUAGCUUGGAGGCAUUUGUAUUCAGAUGUCAGAGGUGAAAUUCUUAGAUUUUCUGGAGACAAACAACUGCGAAAGCAUUUGCCUAAAAUACUUCCAUUAAUCAAGAACGAAAGUUAAGGGAGUGAAGACGAUCAGAUACCGUCGUAAUCUUAACCAUAAACUAUGCCGACUAGGUUUUGGAUGAAAAAUUUUUAAAUAAGAAAAUUCCUUUCGGGGAAAUUUCUUAGAUUGCUUCUUUCAGUACCUUAUGAGAAAUCAAAGUCUUUGGGUUCUGGGGCGAGUAUUCGCGCAAGCGAGAAAGUUAAAAGAAUUGACGGAAGGGCACCACCAGGCGUGGAGCUUGCGGCUUAAUUUGACUCAACACGGGGAAACUCACUAGUUUAAGACAAGAGUAGGAUUGACAGAUUAAUAGCUCUUUCUUGAUUUCUUGGAUGGUGAUGCAUGGCCGUUUUUAGUUCGUGAAUAUGAUUUGUCUGGUUAAUUCCGAUAACGAACGAGAUCUUAACCUGCUAAUUAGCGGCGAA